UGUUUGGCAGGCUCUCCACGGCUCGCACUAUCCUGCGUGCCAGACCUCCUUACCUCCAUCGCCGUGACGUCUUGGCUCGGGCUGGCGUGAGGCCGUGAGGCGGAACGGCGCGGGCAGCCUCGGCGGCAGUCCCCUGCCGCGAGUACCGCUCGGUGCUGUUCCACAAGCUCGAGUGCGAACCCGCGAAAGAGCAGCAGCUGUUUGAUGGGCAACAGGUGUGGGAGAUGGAAGACAUGGCCGUCAUUGGAGCGGGAAGCUCUGCGAACAACCUCCUGCCUCUCGUAUCGACUGAAAGUCCCUGCCUCGCUGAGGAGAAGCAUCUCUACGCAUUGGCCAGAGGCAUCAUGUGAUCCAGUGUCAAGUUCCAUGAAGC